rnacentral:rRNA from 1 species
AGCGAACGCUGGCGGCAGGCCUAACACAUGCAAGUCGAACGAACCUUUCGGGGUUAGUGGCGGACGGGUGAGUAACACGUGGGAACGUGCCUUUAGGUUCGGAAUAACUCAGGGAAACUUGUGCUAAUACCGAAUGUGCCCUUCGGGGGAAAGAUUUAUCGCCUUUAGAGCGGCCCGCGUCUGAUUAGCUAGUUGGUUGAGGUAAUGGCUCACCAAGGCGACGAUCAGUAGCUGGUCUGAGAGGAUGAUCAGCCACAUUGGGACUGAGACACGGCCCAAACUCCUACGGGAGGCAGCAGUGGGGAAUCUUGCGCAAUGGGCGAAAGCCUGACGCAGCGAUGCCGCGUGAAUGAUGAAGGUCUUAGGAUUGUAAAAUUCUUUCACCGGGGACGAUAAUGACGGUACCCGGAGAAGAAGCCCCGGCUAACUUCGUG